CACCUCCAGCAUAACAAUUAUUGGAGGCACUGCCUGCCCAGUGACAUCCGUUAAACGGCCGCGGUAUUCUGACCGUGCAAAGGUAGCAUAAUCAUUUGUUCUUUAAAUAAGGACUUGUAUGAAUGGCCACACGAGGGUUUUACUGUCUCUUACUUCCAAUCAGUGAAAUUGACCUUCCCGUGAAGAGGCGGGAAUUCACAAAUAAGACGAGAAGACCCUAUGGAGCUUUAAUUAACUAGUCCAUAAAAUAAACACUACACUUCCAAGGAAAACAAUCAACUUUUUACUGGACUACGAAUUUAGGUUGGGGUGACCUCGGAAUAUAAAAUAACUCCCGAGUGAUAUAGUCCAGACCAACAAGUCGAAACCAUUAUCAUUUAGUGAUCCAAUUUCUUUUGAUCAACGGAACAAGUUACCCUAGGGAUAACAGCGCAAUCCUAUUUGAGAGUCCAUAUCGACAAUAGGGUUUACGACCUCGAUGUUGGAUCAGGACAUCCUAAUGGUGCAGCCGCUAUUAAUGGUUCGUUUGUUCAACGAUUAAAGUCCU
rnacentral:rRNA from 1 species